AACGAACGCUGGCGGCAUGCCUAACACAUGCAAGUCGAACGAGAUCUUCGGGUCUAGUGGCGCACGGGUGCGUAACGCGUGGGAAUCUGCCCUUUGGUUCGGAAUAACAGUUGGAAACGACUGCUAAUACCGGAUGAUGACGAAAGUCCAAAGAUUUAUCGCCAGAGGAUGAGCCCGCGUAGGAUUAGCUAGUUGGGGUGGUAAAGGCGCACCAAGGCGACGAUCCUUAGCUGGGCUGAGAGGAUGAUCAGCCACACUGGGACUGAGACACGGCCCAGACUCCGACGGGAGGCAGCAGUGGGGAAUAUUGGACAAUGGGCGAAAGCCUGAUCCAGCAAUGCCGCGUGAGUGAUGAAGGCCUUAGGGUUGUAAAGCUCUUUUCCCCGGGAUGAUAAUGACAGUACCGGGAGAAUAAGCUCCGGCUAACUCCGUGCCAGCAGCCGCCGUAA
rnacentral:rRNA from 1 species